rnacentral:rRNA from 1 species
AGUGAACGCUGGCGGUAGGCCUAACACAUGCAAGUCGAACGGCAGCACAGUAAGAGCUUGCUCUUACGGGUGGCGAGUGGCGGACGGGUGAGGAAUACAUCGGAAUCUACUUUUUCGUGGGGGAUAACGUAGGGAAACUUACGCUAAUACCGCAUACGACCUACGGGUGAAAGCAGGGGAUCUUCGCACCUUGCGCGAUUGAAUGAGCCGAUGUCGGAUUAGCUAGUUGGCGGGGUAAAGGCCCACCAAGGCGACGAUCCGUAGCUGGUCUGAGAGGAUGAUCAGCCACACUGGAACUGAGACACGGUCCAGACUCCUACGGGAGGCAGCAGUGGGGUAUAUUGGACAAUGGGCGCAAGCCUGAUCCAGCCAUACCGCGUGGGUGAAGAAGGCCUUCGGGUUGUAAAGCCCUUUUGUUGGGAAAGAAAAGCAGCAGGUUAAUACCCCGCUGUUCUGACGGUACCCAAAGAAUAAGCACCGGCUAACUUCGUG